CUCACACAGGGAAAGGGGAAAACAGCAACCUCUUGAGCUGGAGCCUUAGGCUAGAAAAGAUCACUGAUUACCCACCUGUUCCCCCUGGAUACUAGGGCUUCAAUCCAGAAGGUGCUGUGAUGAAGUGGCUUCAGCAAAAUAUUACCUGAGACAUCCUGAUCCAUUAUGAGAACGGCUGGAGUGCAAUGGUGCUAUCUCGGCUCACCACAACCUUCGCCUCCCGGGUUCAAGAGAUUUUUCUGCCUCAGCUUCCUGAAAACCUAGGACUACAGGCGUGUGCCACCACACUCAGCUAAUUUUUAUUUUUUCUCCGUGUUAGCCAGGCUGGUCUCAAACUCCUGACCUCGUGAUCCGCCUGCCUCGGCCUCCCGAAGUGCUAGGAUUACAGGCAGCAGCAGGAUUUGGCCUGGGGAUGGAACAAAGGGACCCCCUGCUGUAGAGCAAGGGAGAAGGGAAUUUUAAAGAAGAGAUUGCAUCAAUAAAGAUUCUUUUAGCAUUAUUUUUAUCAUUAUAAAA
rnacentral:lncRNA from 1 species